AGUUCUAUCCUCAACGCCCAUCUCACGAUUAUAUUUUGGGAACAUGAAAGUUGUCUGGUUUCACAAGCUCAAGACUAGAAAGAAGUUCUGCCUCAGGGUGGAUUACUCAAGCCUCACUGACAGAGUUUUAAGGUACAUGCCCAGGAGCACCUCCCAAAGCUACCCUCAGCAGCUCGAAGACUUCCCCUGGAGUUUUCGCCGUCGAAUGUGCUGAUUUAGAGGAAGACCCUGGUCCCUGGCCACCUGCCGAGCACUUGGGGAGCCGCCAGAUCUCAGAUUGCUGCCCUUUCAGAGAAGACUUAAGAAAACCUGCCAUGUGGACCGCUGCUGCCUCCAACUUCCCCACUACAUGGCUGUCUCAGCUCGUAGAAACAGGUGGCUGGAAGCAAGAAAACUGGGCCUCGGUUUCCAGUCCACUGGAACUCACUUCCUCCUCAGCAGCUGCUA